CUUCCUCUUUUGCUGUUGAUUUGUCAUUAAUUUCUACUUCAUACUGCUACUCCGCCUCUAAGAUUCAGUCUGAGAUGACUGAUGCAGAAAAUCAUAUAGAUAGUAUAUAGUAUACUCAUAUGAAUUGAAAAUGACUAAACAUAUACCUACACAGUCUCUUGGGAGUCGUGGACUCAUGCACUAUCUCUUUUAUUACUUGCACCUUGUCUCUUCCUCCUUUGAUUAUUGAAAGGAGUUGUACUUGGGCCUUUGUAUGCUCUUUUGUUAUAGCCAACAAUAUGAUACUUGGAGCAAGUCAUGAUUCCCCC
rnacentral:lncRNA from 1 species